rnacentral:lncRNA from 1 species
CACAGGAGGCUGGGCUGUGGGUGCGCACGAGCUGGGCCGGGUGGUCGGCGAUGACCUCUACCGUGGUGCGGGCGUCCUGCGGCACCGGGACACCGGGACACCUGCUGCGGCCGCGCAGCCCCCACCGGGCUCACCUCGCUCGUCUUGCCGGGCUGCAGGCCGCUGCACGGAGGGCUGAAGCGCAGGCUGGCGCUCGGGUCCACGGGAAGACGCAUCCCAACCGCCCCAAGUGAGGGAAGGGGCCGGGGGAGGGAGAGGAGGGUGGAAAUGAGGCGCGAGGAGGAGGAAAUUGGGGGCUUAGAGGCGAGACGGGGGGAGAGGGAAUGGAGGUGAUGAGGUGCAGGAGGGGAGAAGUCAAGUUCCAUGGAGCCGACCGCCAGGAGGAGUCUCACGGGCCGUGGCGGCGAAGCGGAGCAGUCGGGUGGGCGGGCUGGGAGGCCCGGGAGGCCCGGGAGGCCCAGAGCUUGCCGGAGCCCUGGGAACGCCCGCGGUGGCAGCUGAGAACCGGCGCGGGGAUGUGUGCGGCCUGGGGCGGCGGGGGCUUCAGGUUGCAGCUCGGAGCGGGGUCCCGUGGGGCGCCGCGUGCUGGGAGCAGCCGCGCCCCCUCCCAGCGCACAGCGCCCCUGAGCCUCGCGGGUCCAGGUGCCAGGACGGGAGUCGCGGGCAGCGGCCCUGGAGCCUGCGAGUCGCCGCCGCCGCCGCCGCCCGCGGGCCAGAGCAGGAGCCGGGGCGCCCCGCGCAGCUGCCGCAGCCGGAGAGGCGGCCCGGGCGCAGGGGAAUCUCGCGGGUCGCCCCGUCGCUGCUCCCCGACCCAGGACGACGAACCCCCUCUUGGUCGCCCGAGGUUGAAGCUGAGACGCCAGAGAGCCGCGCCCUGAACUGACUGUCCUUAGCUUCCGCUGGAACUUCAGGAGAGGAGGAGGGAAGGUGCUGGCGAUGCACGGGGAACGUGGGAGGCCGUCCUGAUGUGGCGGGGACUGAGGCUUGCGCUCUGGGGGAGGCGCGGGGGACAGAGGGGCCUCCAUCCGCUCGGCGGACGGCUGGGGGCUGAGGCGCUUAGGCCUGAGCCCUCGCGGGGUCACUAGCGAGUUCAGGGGACACUGCUCUGUCCUUCCUCUUCGGGGCUUCCUCUGUACCUUCUCUUUCUCCCUUCCCUGUUCCAGGCCUCCCUCCUGCGUCUCCCGCUGUCCCAGUUUACUCCCCACCUUCCCGCCUCUCCCCAAAAUACCCCCCGUCGACGUGAGCCUCCUCCCUGCGCCCCUCCCGCCUCCUCUGCCUUCCCAGGGGCCGCUUGCCACCUGCGUGCCACCUGCAGGGUCCCUGGCGAUGACUCCCCCCUCCCUGACCUCCUCCUAGCCCCCCCCCCCCCCUCCGGCCUACUGGCCUCAGGGCCCAGAGCCAAGGGGACGCGAGAGAACCCCACUGAUCGCGACGCACUGGAUGCGCAGCGAGCAAGGAGCAACUGUUUCCUGAGCCUGCCACGUUUAACUCUCUUUUCUGUCCCAGGGGAGAGCUCUAACCGGGGCCCUGGGAUGGAACCCCGCCCCGGGCUCCCUGCUGGGCUCCUCCCUCUGCCUGUAUCUCUGCCUCUCUCUGUGGGUCUCUCCUGAAUAAGUUAAUAAAAUCUUCUUUAAAAAAAAUCA